rnacentral:rRNA from 1 species
AACGCGAAAGGGGGGGCAACCCCCCAAGUAGAGUGGCGAACGGGUGAGUAAUACAUCGGAACGUGCCCAGUAGCGGGGGAUAACCUCUCGAAAGAGAGGCUAAUACCGCAUAUGUCCUACGGGAGAAAGAGGGGGAUCGCAAGACCUCUCACUAUUGGAGCGGCCGAUGUCGGAUUAGCUAGUUGGCGGGGUAAAAGCCCACCAAGGCUACGAUCCGUAGCUGGUCUGAGAGGACGACCAGCCACACUGGAACUGAGACACGGUCCAGACUCCUACGGGAGGCAGCAGUGGGGAAUUUUGGACAAUGGGCGCAAGCCUGAUCCAGCCAUGCCGCGUGAGUGAAGAAGGCCUUCGGGUUGUAAAGCUCUUUCGGCUGGGACGAAAAGGUCCGCGCUAACACCGCGGAUCCAUGACGGUACCAGCAGAAGAAGCACCGGCUAACUACGUGCCAGCAGCCGCGGUAAUACGUAGGGUGCAGGCGUUAAUCGGAAUUACUGGGCGUAAAGCGUGCGCAGGCGGUCUCUUAAGACAGGUGUGAAUUCCCCGGGCUUAACCUGGGAACUGCGCUUGUAACUGAAAGGCUGGAGUGUGGCAAAAGGGGGGUGGAAUUCCACGUGUAGCAGUGAAGUGCGUAGAGAUGUGGAGGAACACCGAUGGGCGAAGGCAGCCCCCUGGGCUAACACUGACCUCAUGCACGAAAGCGUGGGGAGCAACAGGAUAAGAUACCCUGGUAGUCCACGCCCUAACUAUGUCACUGGUUGUCGGGGAAGCAAUU